UAGACACUUUUCGAAACUCGGCAGCAGCGGCCGUUCUCAUGGGUCUGGCCUGACUGGGCCCAGCAACAAUGGGCCUUCUGUGCCCAGCCCGGGGCCUGCUCCAACAGGCCACCCCCCGGCUUCCAGCCCAGCCCCACACACUUCCGCCCUCACCUCCCUGGCCCGUGUGCCCACCCUGGGAGCAGGCACCCUUCCUCCUGCGGGCAGGGCGUGGGAGUGCAAGGGGCCAGGCCAGGGAACUAACUGGUUCUGCAGAAUUCCCAGGGCUGUGCAGGCCGGGCUGGAAGCCAGGAGGUCUCCGAGCAGGAACCAGUCCCCACCGCCACCCUCAGGGAAAGAGGAUCCGGGCCCCACUUUACAGGAGAGGAAGCGGAGGUUCCAAGGAAGCUCCCUGGCAAGGGUCACUGGGACCCGUGCAUCAAGGAUGUUCCUGGGCAGUGAUGUGACGGUCACUGUAUCGCUGCAGCUGCCGGCAGCCCAGCAGGCCCACGCACCAGGCCCCUCUUGACCACAGCCUGCCAACGCCUGGAAUGGGUUCAUCCCACUUGUGCGGAGGAGAGGACGGAGCCGAGAGAGCCUCAGUGCCCCCUGCAUGGUGGCCUCCGCCUGCCGACCGACCAGAGCAGCUGCCUGAAGCGGCCAGCCCGCCCCACCCGGCUGCUGCCCAGCCCCACUGCUCAGUGCUGAAGGAGCUACUGGGCAGAAGCCAGCUGGACCUUGGAGGUGGCCUGCGUGGGGCGUGUCCUGGGUGGGGCGCCCCCUGCCCCCUGGUCCAGCCCACCUCUUAGUUGAGACGCUGCUUUUGCAGAGACAGUUCCAGGAGGACCCGCACUGUCACGGGCUGUUGUUGGGCCUCUCCAGUCCCUGCUGUGUGUCCUCUCAGGGCACCUCUCAAAGGGUCCUGUCACCACCUGUUGCAUGUCUGCAUCCCUGUCCCACCCAAGAGCCUCAGCAGACAUCGACUCCCACCGUCUGGGUGCAGGGUGGCUCGGUCCCCGAGCUGCUCAGUGACUCCUAGUUGUUAGAGGCAGGAAGAGUUGAGACCCACGUGUCCGAGCUGGCCUCUGCAGCCCCCUGACCCACUGCGUUUCCAGCCCUUCUCUGGGCUAUGACACAAGUGCUCUGUGAACGUCGACCCUCAUGGUGAUCCAGUUUACAGAUGAGGAAACCAAGGCACAGAGGGCAUCAGGAGUCCCUUCCUGGGCAGCUCCAAGCAGCUCUACACCGACCACAGGAAGCUCUCACUGGCCCCACCUCUUAGGCCAGGGGAGACACUCACAGAGCACAACCUCUGAGGCCAGAGGGGACAGCCCCAGAGGGGACAGUCUCCAGGGGCAGCGUGCACACUCUCACACAGAACACUCUUUGAAGCUAAGCCAGCGUCUGCAGCCAGAAGAGCAGCGAGGACCUGCCCUGCUCUGUGUGGAAGAGGCUGGACAGGCUGGGGCCAGCCCUGCUGGGGUGGGGGGUGGGUGCCUAUGGGGCUGGCCCAGGCCUGGCCCAGCUGGGGCUCAGGAGGGCCUCCUGGGGACAGCGUGAAAUUGCCAUUCUCUGCUCAAAGGCUGCUGCUGGAGGGAGCCUUCCCGGCCCAGCUGGAGGAGGGUCAGCGGGUGCCCCUGGACACGUCCCGCCCAGGCCCAGGGUGCUCCUCACCACCUGCCCAGCACUGGUGGCCAGGACAGGAACCAGACGGGCCUGGGGCAAGGACUGCCUGAAGCUGUCAUGUUCUGUAGGGGCAGGGGGUCCAUUCAUGCCUGUGACAGGGCCCUUCUGGGGCCAGACAAAAGACACUGGCUCCCGGCAACAGACAGUAAGAACCGUGGUGCGCCGUCUGCGUGUUUGCAUGACUCGGCACACACAUGACAGAGGCGGCGGCAGGCCCAGUCACCACACGGCGGCCCUGGGCCCGGGAGCGCGCCCGCUCUGGCUCCUGACAGGUCCUGUGGCCUGCACCCAGGGGCUGGCCUGCCCACCCAUUUGGGGCCUUUGGGUGCCUCCAGCUCCCAGACCCAACUUCUCACCCCAGCCGGAAGUCCUCCUCCCUCCCUUCCUGCCAAGCCGGGCCUGACAGGGCAGGGGGCUCUCCAAAUUUGGAUGCCCGGCCCCUCCUGCUACAAUUAAUGCAAAUGACUUUCCCAGGUUUGGGCUUGAUAAUUUGAUUAUUUGUUCAGCAUUUAUCUUAAGCAAAGUGGAUGUCAAAUAACUGGAAACUAAUGUGGUAAAAACCAUUUAUAAAGCUGCCUCGUCGGGGGCCCUCCCCUAA